GUGAAUCAUCAAAUUUUUGAACGCAAAUUGCACUCUCUGGUAUUCCGGAGAGUAUGCCUGUUUCAGGAUCAAUUUAAAUAAAAAUCGGUGUGUUGGCUUCCUGUCGUGGUGACGCACCGGAUUUGGGUCGUCUUGCCUUCGGUUAAGUGACCUAAAAUGUUUCUUGAUUUUUUUCAAACAUAUUUUAAUGGUUUUACUUACGUUGACG
rnacentral:misc_RNA from 1 species